rnacentral:tRNA from 1 species
GGCGAUAUCGUCUAGGGGUUAGGACAUGUGGUUCUCAACCACAGAACCGGGGUUCGAAUCCCCGUAUCGCUACCA